rnacentral:rRNA from 1 species
UAGGGAAUCUUCGGCAAUGGGGGGAACCCUGACCGAGCAACGCCGCGUGAGUGAAGAAGGUUUUCGGAUCGUAAAGCUCUGUUGUUAAGGAAGAACGAGUGUGAGAAUGGAAAGUUCAUGCUGUGACGGUACUUAACCAGAAAGGGACGGCUAACUACGUGCCAGCAGCCGCGGUAAUACGUAGGUCCCGAGCGUUGUCCGGAUUUAUUGGGCGUAAAGCGAGCGCAGGCGGUUUGAAAAGUCUGAAGUGAAAGGCAGUGGCUCAACCAUUGUAGGCUUUGGAAACUGUUUAACUUGAGUGCAGAAGGGGAGAGUGGAAUUCCAUGUGUAGCGGUGAAAUGCGUAGAUGUAUGGAGGAACACCGGUGGCGAAAGCGGCUCUCUGAUCUGUAACUGACGCUGAGGCUCGAAAGCGUGGGGAGCGAACAGG